rfam:Salmo salar isolate Sally breed double haploid chromosome ssa27, whole genome shotgun sequence.
GGCCGGUUAGCUCAGUUGGUUAGAGCUUGGUGCUAAUGACGCCAACGUCGUGGGUUCGAUCCCCAUACUGGCCA